AGUGCAGUAGUUUGAGCAUUGGACUGUGACUCCAAAGACUAGGGUUCAGUUCCUUGCUUGACUA
rnacentral:tRNA from 1 species